CCUACGGGAGGCAGCAGUGGGGAAUUUUGGACAAUGGGCGAAAGCCUGAUCCAGCAAUGCCGCGUGAGUGAAGAAGGCCUUCGGGUUGUAAAGCUCUUUUGUCAGGGAAGAAACGGUGAGAGCUAAUAUCUUUUGCUAAUGACGGUACCUGAAGAAUAAGCACCGGCUAACUACGUGCCAGCAGCCGCGGUAAUACGUAGGGUGCAAGCGUUAAUCGGAAUUACUGGGCGUAAAGCGUGCGCAGGCGGUUUUGUAAGUCUGAUGUGAAAUCCCCGGGCUCAACCUGGGAAUUGCAUUGGAGACUGCAAGGCUAGAAUCUGGCAGAGGGGGGUAGAAUUCCACGUGUAGCAGUGAAAUGCGUAGAUAUGUGGAGGAACACCGAUGGCGAAGGCAGCCCCCUGGGUCAAGAUUGACGCUCAUGCACGAAAGCGUGGGGAGCAAACAGGAUUAGAUACCCUGGUAGUCCACGCCCUAAACGAUGUCUACUAGUUGUCGGGUCUUAAUUGACUUGGUAACGCAGCUAACGCGUGAAGUGACCGCCGNGGNGGACGGUCGCGAGAUAAACGUACGAAAGAAGUAGAGNGNGAGAGAGACGACGGACGACGACGAGGGAGGAGG
rnacentral:rRNA from 1 species